GUGGGGAAUAUUGCGCAAUGGGGGAAACCCUGACGCAGCGACGCCGUGUGAGGGAAGAAGGCUUUCGGGUCGUAAACCUCUGUCAGAAAGGAAGAACCUCCCAAGUCCGAAUAGGGCUUGGGACUGACGGUACUUUCAAAGGAAGCACCGGCUAACUCCGUGCCAGCAGCCGCAGUAAUACGGAGGGUGCAAGCGUUAAUCGGAAUCACUGGGCGUAAAGCGCGCGUAGGCCGCUUUGUAAGUCGGACGUGAAAGCCCUCGGCUCAACCGGGGAACUGCGUUCGAUACUGCGAGGCUUGAGUCCUGGAGAGGGUGGCGGAAUUCCGGGUGUAGGAGUGAAAUCCGUAGAUAUCCGGAGGAACACCGGUGGCGAAGGCGGCCACCUGGACAGGUACUGACGCUGAGGCGCGAAAGCGUGGGGAGCAAACAGGAUUAGAUACCCCUGUAGUCC
rnacentral:rRNA from 1 species